rnacentral:tRNA from 1 species
GGGGGUAUAGCUCAAGGGUAGAGCACUUGACUGUAUGUCAAGAGGUUCCUGGUUCAAAUCUGGGUGCCCCCU